AACGCGAAGAACCUUACCAGGGUUUGACAUCCUGCGAAUCCCUUGGAAACGAGGGAGUGCCUUCGGGAACGCAGUGACAGGUGGUGCAUGGCUGUCGUCAGCUCGUGUCGUGAGAUGUUGGGUUAAGUCCCGCAACGAGCGCAACCCACGUCUUUAGUUGCCAGCAUUUAGUUGGGCACUCUAGAGAGACUGCCGGUGAUAAACCGGAGGAAGGUGUGGAUGACGUCAAGUCAUCAUGCCCCUUACAUCCUGGGCUACACACGUACUACAAUGCUACGGACAAAGGGCAGCAAACUCGCGAGAGCUAGCAAAUCCCAUAAACCGUGGCUCAGUUCAGAUCGUAGGCUGCAACUCGCCUACGUGAAGGAGGAAUCGCUAGUAAUCGCAGGUCAGCAUACUGCGGUGAAUACGUUCCCGGGCCUUGUACACACCG
rnacentral:rRNA from 1 species